UACGUAGGUGGCAAGCGUUGUCCGGAAUUAUUGGGCGUAAAGCGCGCGCAGGUGGUUCUUUUAAGUCUGAUGUGAAAGCCCACGGCUCAACCGUGGAGGGUCAUUGGAAACUGGGGAACUUGAGUGCAGAAGAGGAAAGUGGAAUUCCACGUGUAGCGGUGAAAUGCGUAGAGAUGUGGAGGAACACCAGUGGCGAAGGCGACUUUCUGGUCUGUAACUGACACUGAGGCGCGAAAAGCGUGGGGAGCGAACAGG
rnacentral:rRNA from 1 species